AGAGCGAACGCUGGCGGCAGGCCUAACACGUGCAAGUCGAACGGACUCUUCGGAGUUAGUGGCGGACGGGUGAGUAACACGUGGGAACGUGCCUUUAGGUUCGGAAUAGCUCCUGGAAACGGGUGGUAAUACCGAAUGUGCCCUUCGGGGGAAAGAUUUAUCGCCUUUAGAGCGGCCCGCGUCUGAUUAGCUUGUUGGUGAGGUAAUGGCUCACCAAGGCUACGAUCAGUAGCUGGUCUGAGAGGAUGACCAGCCACAUUGGGACUGAGACACGGCCCAAACUCCUACGGGAGGCAGCAGUAGGGGAAUCUUGCGCAAUGGGCGAAAGCCUAGACGCGGCCAGUGCCGCGUGUAUGAUGAAGGUCUUAAGGAUUAGUAAAAUUACUUUACACCGGUGAAAGAUAAUAGACUGUAGACCGGAAGAAAGAACGACCCCGGACUAACUUACGUGCCAGCACGCCGAC
rnacentral:rRNA from 1 species